UGGGGAAUUUUGGACAAUGGGNGCAAGCCUGAUCCAGCCAUGCCGCGUGUGUGAAGAAGGCCUUCGGGUUGUAAAGCACUUUUGUCCGGAANGAAAUCGNGNNGGUUAAUACCUGGNGNGGAUGACGGUACCGGNAGAAUAAGCACCGGCUAACUACGUGCCAGCAGCCGCGGUAAUACGUAGGGUGCAAGCGUUAAUCGGAAUUACUGGGCGUAAAGCGUGCGCAGGCGGUUUUGUAAGNCAGAUGUGAAAUCCCCGGGCUCAACCUGGGAACUGCAUUUGAGACUGNNAGGCUAGAGUGCGNNAGAGGGGGGUGGAAUUCCACGUGUAGCAGUGAAAUGCGUAGAUAUGUGGAGGAACACCGAUGGCGAAGGCAGCCCCCUGGACCGNGACUGACGCUCANGNACGAAAGCGUGGGGAGCAAA
rnacentral:rRNA from 1 species